CCUACGGGGGGCACCAGUGGGGAAUUUUCCGCAAUGGGCGAAUGCCUGACGGAGCAAUGCCGCGUGGAGGUAGAAGGCCCACGGGUCGUGAACUUCUUUUCCCGGAGAAGAAGCAAUGACGGUAUCUGGGGAAUAAGCAUCGGCUAACUCUGUGCCAGCAGCCGCGGUAAUACAGAGGAUGCAAGCGUUAUCCGGAAUGAUUGGGCGUUAAGCGUCUGUAGGUGGCUUUUUAAGUCCGCCGUCAAAUCCCAGGGCUCAGCUCUGGACAGGCGGUGGAAACUACCAAGCUGGGGUAUGGUAGGGGCAGAGGGAAUUUCCGGUGGAGCGGUGAAAUGCGUAGAGAUCGGAAAGAACACCAACGGCGAAUGCACUCUGCUGGGCCGACACUGACACUGAGAGACGAAAGCUAGGGGAGCGAAUGGGAUUAGAUACCCCCGUAGUC
rnacentral:rRNA from 1 species